UACGGGGGGGACGAGCGUUGUUCGGAUUUACUGGGCGUAAAGGGCGCGUAGGCGGGCCGAUAAGUCGGAUGUGAAAACUGUCAGCUUAACUGACAGCCUGCACUCGAUACUGUCGGUCUUGAGUACAGGAGAGGAGAGCGGAAUUCCAGGUGUAGCGGUGAAAUGCGUAGAUAUCUGGAAGAACACCAGUAGCGAAGGCGGCUCUCUGGACUGAUACUGACGCUAAAGCGCGAAGGCAUGGGGAGCAAACAGGAUUAGAUACCCUCGUA
rnacentral:rRNA from 1 species